rnacentral:rRNA from 1 species
GGUGAUUAAGCCAUGCAUGUGUAAGUGUAAAUUGUUAAGUUUGGAACUGCGAAUGGCUCAUUAUAUCAGUUAUAGUUUAUUUGGUGAAGUGUACUACUUGGAUAACCGUAGUAAUUCUAGGGCUAAUACAUGAGAAAGUCCUCUGGUGAGGUGUGUUUAUUAGAAUGAAAACCAUAUGCUUCGGCAUGAUAGUGAGUAAUAGUAACCUAUCGUAUCGCAUGCUUAAUGUAGCGAUGAGUCUUUCAAGUUUCU